rnacentral:tRNA from 1 species
GCAUCCGUAGCUCAGUUGAUAGAGUACUUCUCGGCUACGAACCGAGCGCGCGCGCGCGGUCGGAGUGUUCGACCUCCCGGAUGCA